rnacentral:rRNA from 1 species
CGUGAGGGAAAGGUGAAAAGCACCCCGGGAGGGGAGUGAAACAGUACCUGAAACCGUGCGCCCACGAGCAGUCGGAGCACCCUCCGGGGUGUGACGGCGUGCCUUUUGUAGAAUGAGCCAGCGAGUCGCUGGCGCGGGGCGAGGUUAACCGAAAGGGAGCCGUAGCGAAAGCGAGCCUUAACAGGGCGACUUGAGUCCCGCGCCGCGGACGCGAAGCCGGGUGAGCUAUCCGUGGGCAGGCUGAAGCGGGGGUAAGACCCCGUGGAGGGCCGAACGCACGUCGGUUGAAAACGGCGGCGAUGACCUGCGGAUAGGGGUGAAAGGCCAAUCAAACCCGGAGAUAUCUCGUUCUCCCCGAAAUAGCUUUAGGGCUAGCGUCGCGCGUUCACCGCCGGAGGUAGAGCACCGGAUGGACGAGGGGGCUUCGCCGCCUACCGAAUCCAACCGAACUCCGAAUGCCGGCGGCCCAGAGCGCGGCAGUCAGAGCAUGUGGGCUAAGCUGUGUGCUCGAGAGGGAAACAGCCCGGACCGCCCGCUAAGGUCCCCAAGUUCCAGCCGAGUGGCAAAGGAUGUGCGUCCGCCCAGACAACCAGGAUGUUGGCUUAGAAGCAGCCAUGCAUUCAAAGAGUGCGUAACAGCUCACUGGUCGAGUGGACAUGCGCCGACAAUACACGGGGCUAAGCUGGACACCGAAGCGGCGGGAUUCUAAUUCAUUAGAAUCGGUAGGGGAGCUUCCCAUGGGCGGAGAAGCCGGAGGGCGACCGACGGUGGAGCGCAUGGGAGUGAGAAUGCUGGCAUGAGUAGCGAGAGACGAGAGAGUAACUCGUCCGCCGUGAACCCGAGGUUUCCUGGGCAAGGCUAAUCCUCCCAGGGUCAGUCGGGGGCUAAGGCGAGGCCGGGAGGCGUAGCCGACGCGCAGCAGGCAGACAUUCCUGCACCGCGCACGCGGCGCUACGACCGACGGGGCGACGGAUGGGGGUGGCUCGGCGGGGUUCUGGACGUCCCCGUGAUGGAGCGCGGCCCGCGGACCAGGGAAAUCCGGUCCGCACGAGGGCGAGGCUCCGGACGAAGCACUUAAGCGAAGCGAGUGAGCCCGAGGUCCCUAGAAAAACCCCUAGGCAGGCGCGUGCGCGCCCGUACCGCAAACCGACACAGGUGGGUGGGUAGAACAUACCGAGGCGAUCGGGUCAACCAUGGUCAAGGAACUCGGCACAAUGGCCCCGUAACUUCGGGAGAAGGGGUGCCCGCGCGUACGUGAACGGACUUGCUCCGGGAGCGGAGGCGGGCCGCAGUGGAGAGGCCCAAGCGACUGUUUACCAAAAACACAGGACUCUGCAGAAGCCGCAAGGCGACGUAUAGGGUCUGACGCCUGCCCGGUGCCGGAAGGUCACGCGGAGGAGUUAGCGCACCGCGCGAAGCCCCGAAGCCAAGCCCCGGUAAACGGCGGCCGUAACUAUAACGGUCCUAAGGUAGCGAAAUUCCUUGUCGGGUAAGUUCCGACCUGCACGAAAGGCGCAACGACUUGGGCGCUGUCUCGACCAUGGACCCGGUGAAAUUGCACUGGUCGUGAAGAUGCGACUUACCCGCGGAAGGACGGAAAGACCCCGUGAACCUUCACUGCAGCUUGGCAUUGGCCGCUGGUCCCGCGUGUAGAGGAUAGGCAGGAGGCGAAGAUCCGGAGGCGCCAGCCCCCGGGGAGCCGCCCUUGGAAUACUGCCCUCGCGCGACCGGCGUCCUAACCCGAGGCCGUCAACCGGCUCGGGGACCGUGCCAGGCGGGCAGUUUGACUGGGGCGGUCGCCUCCUAAAGGGUAACGGAGGCGCGCGAAGGUCCGCUCGGGACGGUCGGCAACCGUCCUUUUGAAUGCAAGAGUACAAGCGGGCUUGACUGCGAGGCCCACAAGCCGAGCAGGUGCGAAAGCAGGCUCUAGUGAUCCGGCGGCCCCGAGUGGGUGGGCC